UCUUGAGAGCGGCGGACGGGUGAGUAAUGCCUAGGAAUCUGCCUGGUAGUGGGGGAUAACGUUCGGAAACGGACGCUAAUACCGUAUACGUCCUACGGGAGAAAGCAGGGGACCUUCGGGCCUUGCGCUAUCAGAUGAGCCUAGGUCGGAUUAGCUAGUUGGUGGGGUAAUGGCUCACCAAGGCGACGAUCCGUAACUGGUCUGAGAGGAUGAUCAGUCACACUGGAACUGAGACACGGUCCAGACUCCUACGGGAGGCAGCAGUGGGGAAUAUUGGACAAUGGGCGAAAGCCUGAUCCAGCCAUGCCGCGUGUGUGAAGAAGGUCUUCGGAUUGUAAAGCACUUUAAGUUGGGAGGAAGGGUUGUAGA
rnacentral:rRNA from 1 species